UGGGGAAUAUUGCACAAUGGGCGCAAGCCUGAUGCAGCCAUGCCGCGUGUAUGAAGAAGGCCGUCGGGUUGUAAAGUACUUUCAGCGGGGAGGAAGGUGUUGAGGUUAAUAACCUCAGCAAUUGACGUUACCCGCAGAAGAAGCACCGGCUAACUCCGUGCCAGCAGCCGCGGUAAUACGGAGGGUGCAAGCGUUAAUCGGAAUUACUGGGCGUAAAGCGCACGCAGGCGGUCUGUCAAGUCGGAUGUGAAAUCCCCGGGCUCAACCUGGGAACUGCAUUCGAAACUGGCAGGCUAGAGUCUUGUAGAGGGGGGUAGAAUUCCAGGUGUAGCGGUGAAAUGCGUAGAGAUCUGGAGGAAUACCGGUGGCGAAGGCGGCCCCCUGGACAAAGACUGACGCUCAGGUGCGAAAGCGUGGGGAGCAAACA
rnacentral:rRNA from 1 species